rnacentral:rRNA from 1 species
UACGAAGGGGGCUAGCGUUGUUCGGAAUUACUGGGCGUAAAGCGCACGUAGGCGGCUUUGUAAGUCAGGGGUGAGAUCCCGGGGCUCAACCUCGGAACUGCCUUUGAUACUGCAAGUCUUGAGUCCGGAAGAGGUGAGUGGAAUUCCUAGUGUAGAGGUGAAAUUCGUAGAUAUUAGGAAGAACACCAGUGGCGAAGGCGGCUCACUGGGCCGGUACUGACGCUGAGGUGCGAAAGCGUGGGGAGCAAACAGG